rnacentral:rRNA from 1 species
UGAUCAAGAACGAAAGUUAGAGGCUCGAAGGCGAUCAGAUACCGCCCUAGUUCUAACCAUAAACGAUGCCAGCCAGCGAUCCGCCGACGUUCCUCCGAUGACUCGGCGGGGAGCUUUCCCCGGGAAACCAAAAGCUUUUGGGUUCCGGGGGAAGUAUGGUUGCAAAGCUGAAACUUAAAGGAAUUGACGGAAGGGCACCACCAGGAGUGGA